rnacentral:rRNA from 1 species
CAGUAGCCGCGGUAAUACGUAGGUGGCAAGCGUUGUCCGGAAUUAUUGGGCGUAAAGGGCUCGCAGGCGGUUUCUUAAGUCUGAUGUGAAAGCCCCCGGCUCAACCGGGGAGGGUCAUUGGAAACUGGGAAACUUGAGUGCAGAAGAGGAGAGUGGAAUUCCACGUGUAGCGGUGAAAUGCGUAGAGAUGUGGAGGAACACCAGUGGCGAAGGCGACUCUCUGGCCUGUAACUGACGCUGAGGAGCGAAAGCGUGGGGAGCGAACAGGAUUAGAUACCCCUGUAGUCCCUGUCUCUUAUAC